rnacentral:rRNA from 1 species
CAGUCGCCACGGGAAUACGUAGGUGGCAAGCGUUGUCCGGAAUUAUUGGGCGCAAAGGGCUCGCAGGCGGUUUCUUAAGUCUGAUGUGAAAGCCCACGGCUCAACCGUGGAGGGUCAUUGGAAACUGGGAGACUUGAGUGCAGAAGAGGAGAGCGGAAUUCCAUGUGUAGCGGUGAAAUGCGUAGAUAUAUGGAGGAACACCAGUGGCGAAGGCGGCUCUCUGGUCUGUAACUGACGCUGAGGCUCGAAAGCGUGGGGAGCAAACGGGAUUAGAUACCCGAGUAGUCCCUGUCUCUUAUAA